GACGUAGGGCGCAAGCGUUGUCCGGAUUUAUUGGGCGUAAAGGGCUCGUAGGCGGCCAACUAAGUCGGAUGUGAAAUCCCCAGGCUUAACCUGGGAACUGCAUCCGAUACUGGAUGGCUUGAAUCCGGGAGAGGGAUGCAGAAUUCCAGGUGUAGCGGUGAAAUGCGUAGAUAUCUGGAGGAAUACCGGUGGCGAAGGCGGCAUCCUGGACCGGCAUUGACGCUGAUGAGCGAAAGCUAGGGGAGCAAACGGG
rnacentral:rRNA from 1 species